UGGCUGUCGUCAGCUCGUGUCGUGAGAUGUUGGGUUAAGUCCCGGCCAACGAGCGCAACCCUUAUCAUUAGUUGCUACGCAAGGGCACUCUAAUGAGACUGCCGGUGACAAACCGGAGGAAGGUGGGGAUGACGUCAAGUCCUCAUGGCCCUUAUGGGUAGGGCUUCACACGUCAUACAAUGGUCGGUACAGAGGGUUGCCAAGCCGCGAGGCGGAGCCAAUCCCACAAAGCCGAUCGUAGUCCGGAUUGUUCUCUGCAACUCGAGAGCAUGAAGUCGGAAUCGCUAGUAAUCGCAGGUCAGCAUACUGCGGUGAAUACGUUCCCGGGUCUU
rnacentral:rRNA from 1 species